rnacentral:rRNA from 1 species
CUACAGGGGUAUCUAAUCCUGUUUGCUCCCCACGCUUUCGUACCUCAGCGUCAAUGCCGGUCCAGUGAGCCGCCUUCGCCACUGGUGUUCUUCCGAAUAUCUACGAAUUUCACCUCUACACUCGGAAUUCCGCUCACCUCUCCCGGAUUCAAGCGAUGCAGUUUUAAAGGCUAUUCCGGAGUUGAGCUCCGGGCUUUCACCUCUAACUUACAAAGCCGCCUACGUACGCUUUACGCCCAGUAAUUCCGAACAACGCUAGCUCCCUCCGUAUUACCGCGGCUGCUGGCAC